UGCCAUGAUGUCGUAAUUUGCGUCUGACUCUGUUCGCGGCGACAGUUGCCUGCUGUCAGUACGCCGGUUCAGAAGGUUGACGAAAAUUGUCACUGAGCA
ensembl:snoRNA SNORD16 Small nucleolar RNA SNORD16